rnacentral:rRNA from 1 species
GAGCGGAUGACGGGAGCUUGCUCCUUGAUUCAGCGGCGGACGGGUGAGUAAUGCCUAGGAAUCUGCCUGGUAGUGGGGGACAACGUUUCGAAAGGAACGCUAAUACCGCAUACGUCCUACGGGGGAAAGCAGGGGACCUUCGGGCCUUGCGCUAUCAGAUGAGCCUAGGUCGGAUUAGCUAGUUGGUGGGGUAAUGGCUCACCAAGGCGACGAUCCGUAACUGGUCUGAGAGGAUGAUCAGUCACACUGGAACUGAGACACGGUCCAGACUCCUACGGGAGGCAGCAGUGGGGAAUAUUGGACAAUGGGCGAAAGCCUGAUCCAGCCAUGCCGCGUGUGUGAAGAAGGUCUUCGGAUUGUAAAGCACUUUAAGUUGGGAGGAAGGGCAGUAAGUUAAUACCUUGCUGUUUUGACGUUACCGACAGAAUAAGCACCGGCUAACUCUGUG